rnacentral:rRNA from 1 species
AUCUGGGCGGCGGAAUUCAGGACGGUCGGGCGGGUCUCGCGCUCGUCGGGCCGUUUGAUAUUUCCGUCGCCGUGUCAGACGUCGCGACCUGUUCGUCGUCGGUCCUUGCUCGGAGGAAGCGCGAUCGAGUUCGUUGCGGGCGCGCUUCGGUGCGUUCCGCGGCGAAGACGCGACUCUCUGGCUGACGACGGACAGUAAGCAACGGUGUCCGGCGUCGUGUCUCGCACUCGACGUCGGUGCCGGUCAGCGACGAUUUCUUCGGGCCUCUUUCCGACCCGUCUUGAAACACGGACCAAGGAGUCUAACAUGCGCGCGAGUCGCGGGGUUUCGAGCGUGCCACGGUGCGCUCGUUACUUCCGAAACCCGUACGUUGAAGGCGUAAUGAAAGUGAAUAGGGAAGAUGGCGUUCCGAGUCCACGUACCGUGAUCGAGUAUCGCGGCCGGACGUCCGCACUCCCGGGGCGUCUCAAUGGCUCGCCACGGAUGCGGACGGUCGUCUCUCGGGGCGGCCGUCGGUCUGUGGCGGUCCGA